AGCAGCCGCGGUAAUUCCAGCUCCAAUAGCGUAUAUUAAAGUUGUUGCAGUUAAAAGCUCGUAGUUGAAUUUCGGGAUCAAUACGUCGGUCGUGCUUCGGUACGUACUGGCGUCAUUGAUUUCUCCCUUCUGACGAACCAUGAUGUCAUUAACUUGGUGUCAUGGGAAAUCAGGACUGUUACUUUGAAAAAAUUAGAGUGUUUAAAGCAGGCUCACGCUUGAAUACAUUAGCAUGGAAUAAUGAAAUAGGACGUUCGAUCCUAUUUUGUUGGUUUUAGGAUCAACGUAAUGAUUAAUAGGGAUAGUUGGGGCAUUAGUAUUCAAUUGUCAGAGGUGAAAUUCUUGGAUUUAUUGAAGACUAACUACUGCGAAAGCAUUUGCCAAGGAUGUUUUCAUUAAUCAAGAACGAAAGUUAGGGGAUCGAAGACGAUCAGAUACCGUCGUAGUCUUAACCAUAAACUAUGCCGACUAGGGAUCGGAUGAUGUUAAUUUUUUAAUGACUCAUUCGGCGCCUUACGGG
rnacentral:rRNA from 1 species